GACGAACGCUGGCGGCGUGCUUAACACAUGCAAGUCGAACGGAAAGGCCCUGCUUGCAGGGUACUCGAGUGGCGAACGGGUGAGUAACACGUGGGUGAUCUGCCCUUCACUUCGGGAUAAGCCUGGGAAACUGGGUCUAAUACCGGAUAGGAGCCAUUUUUAGUGUGAUGGUUGGAAAGUUUUUUCGGUGUAGGAUGAGCUCGCGGCCUAUCAGCUUGUUGGUGGGGUAAUGGCCUACCAAGGCGGCGACGGGUAGCCGGCCUGAGAGGGUGGACGGCCACAUUGGGACUGGGAUACGGCCCAGACUCCUACGGGAGGCAGCAGUGGGGAAUAUUGCACAAUGGGCGCAAGCCUGAUGCAGCGACGCCGCGUGGGGGAUGACGGCCUUCGGGUUGUAAACUCCUUUCGCUAGGGACGAAGCUUUUGUGACGGUACCUAGAUAAGAAGCACCGGCUAACUACGU
rnacentral:rRNA from 1 species